CAGAAAUGCACAUGGAUUAAUUGUGUAUGAAGAUGACCAAGCAGGAACAGGCUCUCUCAGAGGAUCUUGAACUCUCUGAUGAUGGUGUUUACCCAGAAAGUUCCCUACAAGAAAGCUGCUUCAUUCUAGAAGGGACUGUGCAACAGCAGAAUGUUCAUGUCAUUUGGAGAGACAAAUUGUGUUUGGCUUCAAUUGUUCAUAUAUAGUGAAGACUAUUUUCAGGAGAAAAUUAUAGUGACUGUGUUGAAUUGAUAUCUUAAUUGAAAUUAUAUUGUGGCUUGUGCAUUGCUUUAAAUACUUUAUAUAUUCUUAUAUUAUGUCCAGUAAAAGUUGCCAUUGAGUUUGAUUUGUAGAUGCUGUAUCAUAGAUAUAAUAGUUGCUAUUAAUAUGUUCACUGAUAAUAUUAUAGUGCAAUUUAUGAAAUUAAUAAUUGAAAUGUUUUAACUUAUAAUACUUGACAAUGCAAUAUGAUCUUCGUGUGAAUGUUUAUCAUAUUUUUAACAGUAAAAGAUGUUAUUUGAGUUUGUUUUAUUCAAUGUUAUAUUAAAGAACAGCGAGUUGGAAUUGAGAUUGAAAUGGUUUUGUGAAAAUAAAUUGAUGAUUGUUUAAAUGAG